CUUUUAUUUAUUUUAUUUUCUCCUCUCGCUCAACUGGUCCGCCUCCAUCGCCGCCGCCUGCUGAUCUCUCCCUAGGGUUAGGGUUUGCGGCCGGAGCGGAGACCCGAUUGGAUUGGAUUGGAUUGAAGCGGCCGGCGCAGCGUGGUGGAAUCGAAUCGAAAAGAUUCGAUGGACGCGCAGCGUGCUCUGCUGGACGCGCUGAUGGGGUCGUCGCGGGACCUGACGGAGGAGGAGAAGAAGGAGCACCGUGAGGUGGCGUGGGACGACCCCGACGUGUGCGCCCCCUACAUGGCCCGCUUCUGCCCCCACGACCUCUUCAUCAACACCAAGAGCAACCUCGGAGUAUGCCCAAAGAUCCACGACCCGGCCCUAAAGCAAAGCUUCGAGUCCUCCCCCCGCUACGCCGCCGCCCUCCCCAAAUUUGAGGCCGACCUCGCCCACCGCUGCGAGAGGCUGGUCCAGGACCUGGAUAAGAAGAUCAGGCGCGGCGGCGACAGGCUGGCUCAGGACGUCGUCGAGCUGUCGCCCCCUGCUGCCCACGCCGAAAAGGUCGAGCAGCUCUCCAUCCUCGAAGAGAAGAUCAAGAAGCUGCUCGAGCAGAUUGAGCAGCUCGGCGACACCGGCAAGAUCGACGAGGCCACCGCCCUCAUGAGGAAGGUGGACAUUCUCAACCUCGAGAAGUCGGCUCUCACCCACCAGAUUGAGACCAAGCUCUCCAUGGUCCCGCAAGAGAAGAAGAUGGAGCUCUGCGAGCAGUGCGGCUCCUUUCUCGUCACCAACGACGUCCUUGAGAGGACGCAGUCCCAUGUCACUGGCAAGCAGCACAUUGGUUAUGGUCUGGUCAGGGAAUUCCUCGCAGAAUACAAGGCUGCGAAAGAAGCGGAGAAGCUUGCAAGGGAGAAGGAAGCAGAGGAGCGUCAGAACCGGGAGAGAGGAUACCAUAACAGAGGCCACCGCGACGACUAUAGGGAGAGAUCCAGGGAGCACGACCGUGACCGCUACUAUGAGCGGAGCCGUGACAGAGAGAGGCCCUAUGAGCAGGGAGGUAGAGGGUCGGACUAUAGAGGCGGUUCCUAUAACAGCCGGAGGGAUUCUGAAAGGGCGAGGCCCAGAGACAGGAACGGUGGUGAUUUUUCAAGAAGAGGAGACCCGGGGAGGAUGAGGAGCAGGUCCCGGUCUCCGGGCAGGCAUGGUUAUUAAUCAUUUCAAGUUAUAUGAGACUCGUGAGCUCUUUGUUGAAACCAUACCUAUGGUCUUCCUUUUAUUAUAGAGAGGAUAAAAAACAGAGGAAGGAUUGGAUCGUCAACUUGGGUACAUGAACCAGAAGAAUUCGAGCGAGUGUUGUUGACAGAGAUGAAUGCUAGAUUUCAAUCAAUUACAGAAUCACCCUUUUGGUUCAUCACUUGUUGAAUUUGAGCAUGUAAAAAUCAUCACUUGUUUGAGACUCGAAACGUUUUGGAGUA